rnacentral:sRNA from 1 species
UAUAAUCUUUUCUAAAUUAGGAUGAUUUGAUAUGUUUAAUAUUAGUGGUCUUAAAAAAUAAUAAAUUAAAGAUUUAACCUGUAUUGAAACGGUGGAUUAAUUAUAUUUUACUUUUUUAUUAAUGUUGAUUCAAAAACCCGUCCCACCAAAUCCGUCUUGCCAAAAAGCCAUUUAUUUUAUUAAUUUUAAUUUUAUUAAUGAUAUGACUCUGAAUUAUCAUCUAAACAUUUUAGCUAAUAACAUAGGAGUGCACUAUAUUUAUUUAAUAGGGAAUGUACCAUAUGAUCCGAAUGCAUUUUUACCCAAAUCCACCAAAAAAGUCUUGCAAAAAUACUAUAGAUAUAAGAAACGAUAGUCGGUUUUGAUAGGUAUAAGAUUAGCAAAUAUAUUAGUUAGCUUAAAUUAGUUAAAGAUUACAAAUUGAAAAGGUAUAUUACACUCUAUUCGAAUAUAGUAUCAAAACUUAUAUAACACAGAGAUUUGAUAAUUUUUUAAUUGUUGAAUACUUUUUUUUUGUGCUAAUUUUUAUGUGAUUAAGAUUUAAUUGAGUUCGUAUAUAAAAUAUUAAAUUGUUUUACGAACUUAUUUGUUUAUAAUUUGGUAACAGAUAGAUAUUCGAAUAUUCAGUAUAUUUUGCUUCAGUUUAGGAAAUCUUUGAUGACCUGUCUUUAGAUCCAAUAAGCCCUAUAAUCUAGAUAUUAACCUGCAGUAUACCGCAGGUAGGCUUAUAUUUUACUUAAACUAAAAACUUUUAUUGGAAAGAUGAUUUAAAAAUAUAUGAUAUUAUUUUAUUUGAUUUUAAAUGUAUAGUAAACUGUGAGUUGUAUAUGUUUUGUUGAUAUUAUCCAUAUUGUUUAGUGUUUAAGAUUAUACACUUGUAGUUUGAUUGUUAAUUUAAGAGUUUCACCUGUAGUAUACCAUCUUGUAUUAAUAUCGAUAUAAACCCGUCAAUUCUAGGAUUUUCCAGCUUGUAUUAAAAAUUGAAUCACAUCAUAAACAUAAAAAAAAUCUAAUAUGUUAUUAAUUAUUGUAGUAUAUAAGAUUAUAAAUUUUCAAUAUAAUAUGUAUGAAAUUGAAUAUAAAUAUUUCAAAUUAUGACCCGUUACUCAGUAGAAAGUUUUCUUAAAUCUAUUUUUCACGCGUUAAAAAUAUUUUUUCAUGUAUUGAACAGUUUAUAUUCGUUUUUAAAAAUUCAAAUUAUGGCAUAUGCAAAAAAACUCUAAUUCUCUU